CCUACGGGAGGCAGCAGUGAGGAAUAUUGGUCAAUGGGCACGAGCCUGAACCAGCCAAGUCGCGUGAGGGAAGACGGUGCUAUGGAUUGUAAACCUCUUUUGUCGGGGAGCAAAAGACGCCACGCGUGGCUUUCCGAGAGUACCCGAAGAAAAAGCAUCGGCUAACUCCGUGCCAGCAGCCGCGGUAAUACGGAGGAUGCGAGCGUUAUCCGGAUUUAUUGGGUUUAAAGGGUGCGCAGGCGGAAGGUCAAGUCAGCGGUAAAAUUGAGAGGCUCAACCUCUUCGAGCCGUUGAAACUGGUUUUCUUGAGUGAGUGAGAAGUAUGCGGAAUGCGUGGUGUAGCGGUGAAAUGCAUAGAUAUCACGCAGAACUCCGAUUGCGAAGGCAGCAUACCGGCGCUACACUGACGCGCAUGCACGAAAGUGUGGGUAUCGAACAGGAUUAGAUACCCCAGUAGUC
rnacentral:rRNA from 1 species